UACGAAGGGGGCUAGCGUUGUUCGGAAUUACUGGGCGUAAAGCGCACGUAGGCGGACAUUUAAGUCAGGGGUGAAAUCCUGGAGCUCAACUCCAGAACUGCCUUUGAUACUGAGGAUCUUGAGUUCGGGAGAGGUGAGUGGAACUGCGAGUGUAGAGGUGAAAUUCGUAGAUAUUCGCAAGAACACCAGUGGCGAAGGCGGCUCACUGGCCCGAUACUGACGCUGAGGCACGAAAGCGUGGGGAGCAAACAGGAU
rnacentral:rRNA from 1 species